GGGCCCGUAGCUCAGCCUGGAUAGAGCGGCGGCCUGCGGAGCCGUAGGUCGUGGGUUCAAAUCCCAUCGGGCCCGCCA
rnacentral:tRNA from 1 species